UACGUAGGGUGCAAGCGUUGUAUGGAAUUAUUGGGAGUAAAGAGCUCGUAGGCGGUCUGUCGCGUCUGGUGUGAAAAUCCAAGGCUUAACCUUGGACCUGCAUCGGGUACGGGCAGACUAGAGUGCGGUAGGGGAGACUGGAAUUCCUGGUGUAGCGGUGAAAUGCGCAGAUAUCAGGAGGAACACCGGUGGCGAAGGCGGGUCUCUGGGCCGUAACUGACGCUGAGGAGCGAAAGCAUGGGGAGCGAACAGG
rnacentral:rRNA from 1 species